UACUGCCUUGGAUCUACCCCGUUGAGUGGCACUUCCUUGUGAAAAUUAUGUAAAGAUAUUUAUCAGAAUAAGGUAGAAGUGUAGGGGGUGGCAGGUGAGGUGCAGAAGAAGAAGAAGAAGAAGAAGUUGUACCUAUCCAGUAAUUUUAUCUUGAUUUGUGGACUAGACGAAGACUAGAUUUUGAUGAAGAAAUCGACAAACUUGAACUGCAGGACUCGUGGCGCUGCUCGCCUCCUCGCCAAUGCGAAUGCGUUCUCUGAGGACAACCCGCCCAAGGCUACCAUGGCGAAGCCACGCCACCGCGCCGGCUAUAGACUCACGGCCUGAAGCGAGUUUGGGCGCGACGGCUGGCGAGCCAAGGCGGCGGAAAGUCGUCUGGCGGAGCUCCCGUCUGAGGCGAGCUUGAUCUGGUCAGACAGCUCCGCCACCGAUGGUGUGCUAGAUGGAGGAGGAGGGGCCACCCCCCCCCCGAACCGCGACAUCCGAGAGGUGCGUGUCGCGGCAGGCGCCCUCUGCUCUAGCACGCGCGGCGAGCUAUUCGCCCUAAGAGCGGUGUUGGAGGAGCUGGCCGGACGGAUGGUACCGGUCGAUAUGGGUCGACCGCCGUCUAUCCGGUCCAUUCUGCUGUUCCAGCUCCAGGACCGGCCGCGCCGUCGCCACCCGUCCGGCGUCAGUGGAGGACCGCUCAUCAGCUGUCGAUUUUCAUCAGUUUCGCUUGGACCACUGGUCGGGCUCCUGCCAGUGCCGACAUUGGGUUGGGCGGAGUCCUACCGAUGAAUGCCGCGAGUGCUGCAACAUUGGCUCGGUACAUCUCGGUACAUUUUCCCGAGUCUGGUGUGGCUACGGGGAGACGGAUUUGGUGACCCUGGCUGCCGCCGUGAGAACCAUCCAGAACCGUACGGCUAUGCUGCGGCAGCAGCUGAAAGGAACGCAACAACAAUAACUACAACAGCAGCUGCUAAUGAAAGGGGAAAUCAUGGAGCCGGAUGACCCGGCACAUGGCGCUCAGCCAGCUGAGAAUGAGAGCAGCUAUCAAAUCGCCAGCAGGGUGCUGCGGCUGGUAACUGACGACCUUAACAGAGAGAGCGCCUCCGCUGAUGCGGAUGAAACUACCCCCUCUCGGGUUUGUUUGACGCCGUCUCCGUCGACUCUUUCGCCUGGGCCGGCUGGCGACCGCGACAUUUCUUGUGCAGUGACUCGUAACUAUGUUCACCAAACUUUUAAAACUCCUCACGUUAGCAUCUUUAAAGAAUGUUUCCCUUGUACACUGCUGCAAUGUCUUAUGUAGGCAUAUUGUAGGUACAGUCUAAACGAGUGUGGAAUGCUUUGUUGUGCUUGCUUGUUCUGUAUUUCGUUUUUCUAUUUAUCACGGUGACUAUAAUUUAUUUUGACCAACCCUUGCCUUGUUGCAAUUUUAGUGGAUGGUUUCUGAACUGCUGUUUGCAUUAUAGAUGUUGCUAGUGCGUAGACGCCAAAGAUUACUUUAUACCUAUUGACGCGCCAGAUAAAGGAGGUGAAGUAUUCCUCUGAUCUCUACCUACGAAAUUCCUUUAUGUGUGUUUUGUAAUCGAUAUUGGCGGUUUUCUUAUGUGAUGCGGUGUAGAGCGUGGCUGAGGAAGGCGAUGUUUAAAGUUGCUAGUUAUUUUUCAAUACAUCUAUGAUCGGAC